rnacentral:rRNA from 1 species
CUACGGGAGGCAGCAGUUAGGAAUCUUGCCCAAUGGGGGAAACCCUGAGGCAGCGACGCCGCGUGGAGGAUGAAGGAUUUAGGUCUGUAAACUCCUUUUACCAGGAAAGACUUAGGACGGUACCUGGUGAAUAAGCCCCGGCUAACUCCGUGCCAGCAGCCGCGGUAAUACGGAGGGGGCGAGCGUUGUCCGGAUUUACUGGGCGUAAAGGGCGCGUAGGCGGUUUGUUAAGUGUGAAGUGAAAUCCCCAGGGCUCAACCCGGGAACUGCUUUGCAAACCGGCAGACUGGAGGAAGGUAGAGGUGUGUAGAAUUCCUGGUGGAACGGUGACAUGUGUAGAUAUCAGGAGGAAUACCCAUGGCGAAGGCAGCACACUGGACCUUUCCUGACGCUGAGGCGCGAAAGCGUGGGUAGCAAACAGAAUUAGAAACCCGAGUAGUCC